UAGGGAAUCUUCGGCAAUGGGGGCAACCCUGACCGAGCAACGCCGCGUGAGUGAAGAAGGUUUUCGGAUCGUAAAGCUCUGUUGUAAGUCAAGAACGGGUGUGAGAGUGGAAAGUUCACACUGUGACGGUAGCUUACCAGAAAGGGACGGCUAACUACGUGCCAGCAGCCGCGGUAAUACGUAGGUCCCGAGCGUUGUCCGGAUUUAUUGGGCGUAAAGCGAGCGCAGGCGGUUUGAUAAGUCUGAAGUUAAAGGCUGUGGCUCAACCAUAGUUCGCUUUGGAAACUGUCAAACUUGAGUGCAGAAGGGGAGAGUGGAAUUCCAUGUGUAGCGGUGAAAUGCGUAGAUAUAUGGAGGAACACCGGUGGCGAAAGCGGCUCUCUGGUCUGUAACUGACGCUGAGGCUCGAAAGCGUGGGGAGCGAACAGGAUUAGAUACCCUGGUAGUCCACGCCGUAAACGAUGAGUGCUAAGUGUUGGGAGGCUUCCGCCUCUCAGUGCUGCAGCUAACGCAUUAAGCACUCCGCCUGGGGAGUACGACCGCAAGGUUGAAAC
rnacentral:rRNA from 1 species